AGGCGAUGGUGAGGGAUAUAUCUUUGGAGAUCCUUAAACCUCUCCCAAGCUUCAUAGAGAGAUCCCCCAUCGUAUUGGUAGAAGUCAAUAACAUCCUUCUGUCAAUUU